rnacentral:lncRNA from 1 species
AAGUACUUCUAAAUUUUGAAAACAUAAAAUUCAAACUUUAAAAUACAUUAGUUAAUUAGUACUGCAAAGUCAAGCCAAUAGCCAACGAAGACCAAUUCAAAACCAAAGCAAAGUACUCAGCAUUUAGGAACAUUUACCACCAAACCUAUGCAAAAUGUAGUCCUUUCCAGCAGCAAAAUCCAGCAGCCCCAAACCCAAGCAAAAUGUAUCUCAUUUCAUUAAUUGAGAUUAAGUGAAAAACAAGCAUUUGCACAUGAAAAUAUUAAGAAUAAUGUCUUCAAAAAGGAAAAAGGAUACAAGUAAUAAUAGAAUAUGAAAAUAUUCAGUGAAAAAUAAGGCAAGACCCCUUUUUUCCCUUCUCUAAAGUAAGGCAUUAAAAAAGAUUAAAGAAAUUAUGAUUGUUUCCACACCUGGAGCUAGAAGAGCUGGUCAUUUAAUGUUGCCUUGGCACCAUUUGAAUGUGUCCAGAUUGGCGUCCACAAAUUCAAGGAAGAUGAUUGUCCUGCCUCUUACAUAUAUCAUAUUCAAGUACGAAUAACUCUGUUCCUAGUUGGAUUUAUUUGAUCAAGUUAAUAGUUCAGUAAGAAAACGGUUGGCCCUCAUAGUCAUUAAAAGUUAUUGUCUCAUUGUUCAUUUUGAGUGCUUCUAAAACAAAGGAAAUGAAAUAAAAUAUUUAAACAUACACAUAUAUCAUGUAUUUAAACAUUUUUUUUCCUUUUCUUUAAACCUUAGCACGGGGACAAUAGUUAGUUAUUAAUUAAAAGCAUGAAUAAAGGGUUUCUUUAAACCAAUACAUCGGUGCUACUUAAAAAGGUGGGAUUAGAACCACAAUCUGUUGCACAACUUUUUUAUAUCUUACUAUUUGAAUUGACUAAAAAUAAGAAAAUCUACUCUACAACUUUAUUAUCAACUACAACUUGUAAAUAUCUCACAUAUGUGGUUACAUAAGUCUGAAAAAGAGAUACUAGUCAAAAUUCAUUACUUCCAAUCAAGCAAAAGCACGCAGUAUCAAACAAGAUAUGCAUCCUCAGAACCCAAAGUCAAUUUGUACUCCAUUACUAUCAAUUUCCUAUGUAGUUAAUUUUAUUUUAUUUUUUUGGUAUCUCUUAAGUAUCCAAAAUUAUACCCUAAGCAGUCAGACACAAUCAGAUAGUACUUACCUAAUGCAAGAUAUUAGAGAUUAAAUUCAGGAGUAGCAGAAUGCAAAUAGUACCUGCUUUGAAGAAAAUAUUAGUGCCAUCCGAAGGUAAGGGUCUUGGGAAACAACAAGAUCAACUUUUUGAUUUAGCACAACAUUUUCAUAUUUCCAAUCAAGUGAGCUUGAUAAAUACUGGAUAUGUAAAGACCAAAAAUUAGUUUCAAACAAUUUGUCAUCCAAGAAGGUACAACACGCAGGAAAAAUGGCUAGCGAGUGUGUGAUCAUGUCUCUUCCUCUGUUGAGGAUAUUGUGACACACACACACACACACACACACACACACACUAUAAAGCUAUUGAUCAUACAUACAUGCAUUAAUAUUUUUCAUCUUAAUCAUCUGCACAAAUUAAAGAGAAAUGAUCAGGUUCUGCUCAACCUCAAGCAUGCAUUACAAAUAAUUAAACUUCUCUCCAAUUAAGUUGUUUAACUGGAUAAUAGGAAUAAUAAUUAAUAGUAAUAAAAGAUUAAUUAGAAACUUCAAAGAAAUACAAACAUGUGCUUAAGAUUUAAUUCCUCAGUUUGUGUUCGUCUAUGAUUUCAAUAUAACAAGCUUAUUUAUUUAUCAACAUAGGAUGAAGUCAUUUCAACUAUACGUGUCUACUUUUACAAGCUAGCUAGGAGUACUAGAACUAUUGUUUAUGAAAUUAUAGUUAUAAUGUAAAUACUUGUGGACGCAGGUGAUCACACACAAAAAAAAUUACAAGACUGACUGAUUAGGAUGAUGGAUACAUCUAUGUAUGCAUGCAAUUAGUCCUUACUUUUAGAAAACCUCUCCUUUUCCUUUCUCUAUCUUCUAAGAAUAUAAGAAACCUGUAAAACUCUACUGAAUGCUUGGUUAAACAACAUUUUUGUUUCAAAUUCUAAAACAAAUGAGAACCACACCAAGAAUGCAACACGGUGAAUAGAAGCAAUCCCAUCACUAUUUCAUACCCAUGAGCAAGUGUCAUAACUUAUUCCCAAAUUCCACCAUAUUAUAUCAUUGGCUUACGAGCUUGUGCAAUCUUUAUAUAUAGUUCCAUGUGUUAGUAAUAUGCCCUAAAGGCCAAUCGAAUGGUGUUUGUUUGUUUAGGGAAUUAUUGUAUUUGAAUAGCAUUUUGAUAUUUAUAAAAUGGCAAAGUUAUCAACAUUCAUAAAUUAAUUUAAUGAAUAUAGUCCAAGAAGUAAAAUAGUUAAGGAACACAUUCUCGAGUUUGUCGAGAAUAUGAAACGUGCAUCCUUUGUACUAUACUUCUAAAAUAGUUCCUAGUGGUGGAUUUAUGAUUGGACAUUAUAAAUUCCUAUAAACACUAGUAUGUGUUAUGACUCCUUAUGGUAUGUGAUACUAAAAUGGAUGGUGAAUUUCAUAUCAUUGACAUGAGAUGUCAAGUCAAACACAUAGGUACUUGUUGAGAGAACGAGUUUACUGAACUUGACCAAAUAUAGUAAGCCAUAUGGUUUUGAGUGUUAAUGGCUUAUUAUACAUUGUGAUAGACACUAUGUUUAGUAAUGGUCUUUAGACCUGAGGCAUAACAGAUGUCUUUUGCAUAGAUAUCUCUGAUAUGUGAAAGCAUAAUGAUUGAUUCCUAAUCAAGGAAGAGAUCUAGCAAUAGCUGUCAUGGUUGGCUAUGUAUGGAGACAAGUGUGUGGACAAUAUGGAAUUCAUCACUUUGUAAUAUUAAAAAAGGAUGUCCCUGUGAGAUAAUAUGAAUUGGCAUGAGAAAUCCUUGGCCAAGGUGAAAUAUGUUUGAAGGAGUUCAAAUUAUAUUUUCAUGGCAAGUUCAUUUAGAUUUAUUUUGAGAUAAAGCAUAACUGCUUAACAUAAUAAACCAUAAGUCGUGCUUUUCUCUGGACAUGGAUGAUGAAGAGACCAAGACAUAGAGAUACAAUGGAAUAAGUUCUAUAGAUCCAACAAUUCUUGUUAUUUAGAUGGUUGUGAAAUACUGCUAAGUGUCACUCAUGACUUGUAGAAACCUUAAGAUUAAUAUUGGUAAACUGUAUUAGCAAUGCAUCUUAAGGUCAUUAGAAAAGUUCUAUUUGAUGACUAAAGAGUUUAGCAUCAUUUAAUGAAUAAAGAGUUAUCAUUAAAAUAGUUCUACUACCUUAUAACAAAGAACCUAAAAGGUCACACACCAAAUAGAAAUGAAAAAUGAGUUAAUAGAAAAAGAAGUUAAAUUUCCUAAUUUUAGGAAAAUCGAUAUUUAUAUUAUAAUUCAUUAAGAAUGAAUAUAUAUAUAUAUAUAUAUAUAUAUAUAUAUAUAUAUAUAUAUAUAUAUAUAUAUAUAUAUAUAUAUAUAAUAUAUCUUAAAUAUGAUUUAAGAUAGAAAUUUAGAUUUUCCAUAAAUAGUUUAAGGAACAAAAUAAAUUUCAUAAAUUCUCAAUUAAACAUUAUGUAUAAUAUCAAGCACGUAAAAUGACCAUUUUGGACAUGUUCCGGUUCAUAUAUGAUUAUGGACUUCUAGACCAAUUUUGGGUUUAGAAUUUUGGGCUUUUAUUGGACCUAAUAUGGAUUAAGAGAAAGCAUUAGAACAUGUCACAAAAGAAGCCCACAUUUAACCAUUUGAUUUGAUCAAAAUGGGAUUAAUUAAUUAAAGACAAAAUUAAUUAAUUUAGCUAUUUAUUUAUUCAAAAUAAUUUGAUUAAAUAAAUUAUUGAAGUGAUAAGAUCACAUUCAAUAAAUAAUGGCUUAGUGGGUGGGUCUAGCACAUGAUAAUGUUUGGUGCCAUUAUUGAAGAUAAUGGUGGCUUUAUUUGGUGGAAUGAAUCAUCAUGAACUAGCAUUCAUGUUUCUUCAUUAUCUCUCUCAUUUCCAAACGAAAUUGGGUGAUUCCAAAUCCUAUGAACUCCUAGAACAUUUCUAAGUGUGGACUACUAGAGGUAUCACAAUUGGGAUGCUUUAAGGAUCUCAAAUCGUGGCAAAACAGAAGCUAUUCGUGCAGAGGUCUAUUUUCUGGACAGUGUUCGUAACUUGCUGUUUUCAGUCAUUUUCUCCUACUUCACGAAGUCGUUUUUGAAACUACAAGUGAAGUAAUUAAACUUCAAUCUUUCCUCUUGAUUUUCGUUUGUGAAUGAAGCCGAUCCGAGAUUUCUAGAGCUUCCGCCAUCCGUUUUAAUUUUACUGUGCAAAAGUUGCGUUUUUAGAAACCUCAUGGACAAAUGUUGUCCUCACCAUGCAUCCACGAAAAGUGAAAAAAGUCAGUUAUUAGAGAAGCCCUAAUGGUAAACAUUAUUGGCAAUUAAGUAUGGUGGUUUAAUUAAUUAAAUGAUUCACUCUCACUGACCAGUAGUAGUCCCCAUCCUAUUGGCAUGAACGCAAGAAUAUAGAGCAAGAUAUCUUUGAAGGUCAUAUGAGGGAAAGCUAUCAAACUGAUGAAGACAGUAAGAAAUGAAAUGAAUACCAAACCUUUAAUCACUCUAAACAAAAGCUGGAAAGUUGCACUGAAUCAUUGUCUUCCAAUAGACAUUGCCUAUCAAAACCAACAAAAAUAACUACAAAUUUACACAAUAAAAAUAUCGACCACCUACAAUGCACUAUUAAAAUAAAAUCAAAUUCCCUCAAUAUAUAUGCAGUACCAAUCUAAACAAAAAUUAAUAUUUUUUUAAUUUCAAAUUAAAAAUCAAAACUAAAACCUUCACUAACAAUGAAUGGAUAGCAAUAACGAGCAAGAGAAUUCAAUUUUGAACAACAGAAAGUGUUUUUCUUCGGUUAGCGAGCAACAAAACUUCACUAACUAUGAGUGAAACAGUGAAUGAUUGCAACGAUUAGGGUUUCUUUAAAGCAACAGUGAGUGAUGAUUUUUAUUUCAUGUAGCUAGGAUUUAGGUCUUCUUGAAUGACUAAGGAUGAGUUUAACAAUGACUUAAGACUCUAGGGCGGCAGAAAACAAUAAAGGCAAAGGAUUUCAAUUAAAAGAAGUGUGGGGUUUUGUUUUUCAGAGUGGAGUUUGACGA